rnacentral:rRNA from 1 species
UGGGGAAUCUUGGACAAUGGGCGCAAGCCUGAUCCAGCCAUGCCGCGUGAGUGAAGAAGGCCUUCGGGUUGUAAAGUUCUUUUGGCGGGGACGAUGAUGACUGUACCCGCAGAAUAAGCUCCGGCUAACUUCGUGCCAGCAGCCGCGGUAAUACGAAGGGAGCAAGCGUUAAUCGGAAUUAUUGGGCGUAAAGGGUGCGUAGGUUGUUUGAUAAGAUAUAUGUGAAAUACCUGGGCUCAACCUGGGAAGGUCAUAUAAGACUGUCAGACUCGAGUAUGGGAGAGGGUAGAGGAAUUUCCGGUGUAGCGGUGAAAUGCGUAGAUAUCGGAAGGAACAUCGGUGGCGAAGGCGUCUACCUGGCCUAAUACUGACACUGAGGCACGAAAGCGUGGGGAGCAAACAGGAUUAGAUACCCCAGUAGUCCCUGAGCGGGCUGGCAAGGCGCAU